UAAAUUCACAUAAGUGCAAUAUAGUAAUUUAAUUUAUACAUUUAAUACAUUUUAAUUCAUACAUUUAUUUAAUUUAACAGUAACUUGAUUAGCAAGUUUAAUAAUAAAUAUAGUAAAUAAUAAAUAUAGUAAAUACGUAUUUAAUACAAUUAACAAUUUAAGUAAUUCAUAAUAUAUUAAAUAUAUUUUUUAAAAUGUAUUUUUGGUGCAUUACAGUAAUGAGAAUUUAUAAUUUCUUUGUUUUUAUUUUGAGGUGAAAUAUGACCCGUUUCAUGAGAUUCACCCUUUAGCUGAUGUGUAGUUUGGGUCAGUUCAACUAGAAAAUAUCUGCAGCACAACUACAAACAAAAAAAAUUCCUUCAGAGUUAAAUAGUAAAAAUCUUCACGCUACUGGCAAAUAAUUGGUAAAUAUUUAUCAAGUAUAAAAUAGAUAUUUUAUAUAAGAUUAACUUUUGUAUUUUUAUACUAAAAAAGGAGAAUGUGUUAACAUUAGAUAGCAUGAGGUACAUGCCUUAUCCAAAUUCAUAUCGUAUGACUUGUUGAAAUGAAGAAUGAAGCCUGGGAUCUAUUAUGUGAAUGGAAUCAGUUUUCUAUGUGUUUCCUCCGGUGGAUUUGAAGUUUGAGAGUGGCUUUCAUUUCAAAGCAUAUAUUUUGUUACGUAACAUUUGACAGCACAUUACACUGUACGUGUGAAGCACUUUGUGUCACUGGGACGUAUUAGUAAUGUAUGAUAAAUAACCAGUUGGCAGUGAAUAAUAAAUUGCUAUCGACUGUUUAGAUCGAUAUUCUCAUUCAUAUUUAAUGGAUGCCUAAGGGUUUGUAAACAACUGCCCCACUGCCAUUGUUUUUCCCAUUUUCUGCGAAGAAAUACAUAUAGCUACAGUAUAUUUAAGACGCUAUAGUUUGGUGGUCGUGUCCAUCAGAUGCCUGAUACAUACCUCAUACAUUUCUUUUUCGUGUCUCAAAAUGACUUCAUUGAAGUAGAACAGACCCAAACUCUGAUGCGACACACGUAUGCUGUGUUAAAACACUGAGAAACAUCCAAAAUAUAUGAACAGAAGAACUGUGUAACUGUAUAUAAACUGUAUGAUCAUGGAUAUGUUCAUUUAGGGUAUUUUUUGUAAGCUUUUUUUUCUACCAAAAGCUUUGAGAGAUCUGAACUGCAUGUAAAUAUCCUCUCAAAGUCUGCAUGCAGAAUCCUCUCUCUGUACGUUCUGUUUACAAGUGUAAGAUAGAUGGAUUUCUGUAUUAAUAAAGAUAAUUUUUUGUUCUAUGUGAGUAGAUGGGUCAGUCAGAUCCUAUUCACUGUUGUCUGAUCUGUAACAAACCAUUCAAGCAUUCUAAACCUCUGAGUUUAACAUGUCCAAAAAAAGAAGAAGAAGAAGAAAAAAAAACAAUUUUCAUAAAAGCAACAUAUAGAAUGCACAGUAUAUUAAACUAUCAAUGACUUCUUGUGAUAAAACAAUAACAGUGUGAAUGCAAUGUCGACCAAUAGAAAUAUAUCUAUAUGGAAAUGUUAUAAUGCAAAAGUUGUUUUAAUGUUGAAAAAACCUUGUCUGGUUGUGUAUGUACAAGAGACUGUUGGUUUUGAAUGUUCUUGUGCUGUUUUUGUGGCUAUUAAAGUGAAUAUCUUCUA
ensembl:lncRNA